GCAGAUAUAGUUUAAUGGCAAAACCACAGCCUUCCAAGCUGAAGAUGAGAGUUCGAUUCUCUUUAUCUGCU
rnacentral:tRNA from 1 species